GGAGUGAGUGGGGCUGGGGAAGGGUGAGGGACCAGACUGCAUUCUAUUUGCCUCUGAGUUGCCGCAUUUCUUCUGUGUCUGCCUGGAAUUGCAGCUGUGCCUUCCCAAGGCGGCCCGGACAUCCCAGGAGCUGAUUACAGAGCAGGCUGGCUGAGCUACCCCUUUGCUUCCCAUCUCUUUUGGCGCUCUCCACCCUUGCACCCCCUUCACCUGUUCUACAAAGCAGGAUUAAAAGGACUUUGGAGUCUGGAAUCUCUGGAUUCCGGAGCAGGCUCCAUGACUUAGUGAUUGUGUGAGCUCGGUAAAUAUCCAGAAGUGGGACUGUUGGAUCGUGCGUGGGUUAAGUUUGUCAUAAGAAGCUUCCAGACUACAUUACCACCAUCCUCUCAGCUCCCUGGCUAAUGAGUCAAGCAGUGGUGGUGUCAGGCCUCCGGUGAGGAUUCAACCAUACAAGAAGAGUGACGUUGUGCUGCAGACUUCUUGCCUGGGUGGCCUCAGCCUUGUCCAGGGUUUAUGGAGUCCUUCCGUCCUGGCAGGUUCCAGCAUUACUUGGCAGAGCCUUGCAUAGCAGUAUGUUUACUCAUUUGCUGCCUGUCAUCAGUCAAAUUUUUCAACUGGUUGAGCCUUUGAAGAAUUACUUUGUAAAUCAUUUUAAGUGUUUACAAUGGAAUUGAACAUUUUGUAAAUGAAUCCUCUAAAUUUUGUUCAAAAGCAAUUGAAAACCUUUGGUCAGAGUGUUCUUCAAGCCUGCCAAAAUAAACGUUAACUUUUAUCAAAUUUAAGGUACUGUAAGCAAAGCUUUCAUCAAAUUUCAGUUAUUUCACACUGGAAAACAUUUUCACAUAUCUCUCAAAAGCAAGGGAGUUGCUAAACAAAUUAAGUAACUAGAACAUGAGUGGUGGCCAAGAUUUAAUUUAGAGAUUCUCAAAUUUUUCUUUA